rnacentral:rRNA from 1 species
UACGUAGGGGGCAAGCGUUGUCCGGAAUCAUUGGGCGUAAAGCGCGUGUAGGCGGUUCGGUAAGUCUGCUGUGAAAGUCCAGGGCUCAACCCUGGGAUGCCGGUGGAUACUGUCGGACUAGAGUACGGAAGAGGCGAGUGGAAUUCCCGGUGUAGCGGUGAAAUGCGCAGAUAUCAGGAGGAACACCGGUGGCGAAGGCGGAUCUCUGGGCCGUAACUGACGCUGAGGAGCGAAAGCAUGGGGAGCGAACAGG